rnacentral:misc_RNA from 1 species
GGUACCUGAAGAAAAAGCAUCGGCUAACUCCGUGCCAGCAGCCGCGGUAAUACGGAGGAUGCAAGCGUUAUCCGGAAUCAUUGGGCGUAAAGGGUCCGCAGGUGGCGAAUAAAGUCUGCUGUUAAAGACCGGGGCUUAACUCCGGAAAGGCAGUGGAAACUGAUUAGCUAGAGUAAGGUAGGGGUAGAGGGAAUUCCCAGUGUAGCGGUGAAAUGCGUAGAUAUUGGGAAGAACACCGGUGGCGAAAGCGCUCUACUAGGCCGAAACUGACACUGAGGGACGAAAGCUAGGGUAGCGAAAGGGAUUAGAUACCCCUGUAGUCUCAGCGGUAAACGAUGGAUACUAGGUGUAGCUUGUAUCGACCCGAGCUGUGCCGAAGCUAACGCGAUAAGUAUCCCGCCUGGGGAGUACGCACGCAAGUGUGAAACUCAGAGGAAUUGACGGGGGCCCGCACAAGCGGUGGAGUAUGUGGUUUAAUUCGAUGCAACGCGAAGAACCUUACCAGGGCUUGACAUGUCGCGAAUCUAGCGGGAACGUUAGAGUGCCUUAGGGAAUGCGAACACAGGUGGUGCAUGGCUGUCGUCAGCUCGUGUCGUGAGAUGUUGUGUUAAGUCCCGCAACGAGCGCAACCCUCGUCCUUAGUUGCCAAUAUUAAGUUAGGCACUCUAGGGAGACUGCCGGGGACAACUCGGAGGAAGGUGGGGAUGACGUCAAGUCAGCAUGCCCCUUACGUCCUGGGCUACACACGUACUACAAUGGUUGGGACAAAGGGCAGCAAGCUCGCGAGAGUAAGCGAAUCUCAUCAAACCCAGCCACAGUUCAGAUUGCAGGCUGCAACUCGCCUGCAUGAAGUAGGAAUCGCUAGUAAUCGCAGGUCAGCAUACUGCGGUGAAUUCGUUCCCGGGCCUUGUACACACCGCCCGUCACACCAUGGAAGCUGGCUACGCCCGAAGUCGUUACCCUAACCCGGUUUUGGGAGGGGGAUGCCGAAGGUAGAGCUAGUGACUGGGGUGAAGUCGUAACAAGGUAGCCGUACCGGAAGGUGUGGCUGGAUCACCUCCUUUACAGGGAGACCUAGUCUAAUUACCAAUAGAUGAAAAAGUUGGUAAUUCGCAAGAAUCCUUAGGUCGUGAAGGGAGCAAGAAAAAACUUUCAAACUGUAAUGGGUGAGGGUCAAUGGGCUAUUAGCUCAGGUGGUUAGAGCGCACCCCUGAUAAGGGUGAGGUCCCUGGUUCAAGUCCAGGAUGGCCCACCUAAAAUACACAGGCAUCCUGCCUGUGCCACAAAAAAAGGAAAAAGUUUUGGCAUUGUCUCUUGUAAUCAAGAGCAAGAGAUAAUGCUGGAAUAGAUUCCAGCAAGAAC